rnacentral:rRNA from 1 species
GAACGCUAGCUACAGGCUUAACACAUGCAAGUCGAGGGGCAGCGAUGAAGAAAGCUUGCUUUCUUCAGGCGGCGACCGGCGCACGGGUGAGUAACGCGUAUCGAACCUGCCUCAUACUCAGGAAUAGCCUUGCGAAAGUAAGAUUAAUGCCCGAUGUUAUUAGGAUAUCACAUGAUGUUUUAAUUAAAGAUUUAUCGGUAUGAGAUGGCGAUGCGUCCCAUUAGCUUGUUGGCGGGGUAACGGCCCACCAAGGCAUCGAUGGGUAGGGGUUCUGAGAGGAAGGUCCCCCACAUUGGAACUGAGACACGGUCCAAACUCCUACGGGAGGCAGCAGUGAGGAAUAUUGGUCAAUGGACGCAAGUCUGAACCAGCCAAGUAGCGUGCAGGAUGACGGCCCUCUGGGUUGUAAACUGCUUUUAGUUGGGAAUAAAGUGCACCACGUGUGGUGUUUUGUAUGUACCAUCAGAAAAAGGACCGGCUAAUUCCGUGCCAGCAGCCGCGGUAAUACGGAAGGUCCAGGCGUUAUCCGGAUUUAUUGGGUUUAAAGGGAGCGCAGGCGGACCUUUAAGUCAGCUGUGAAAUACGGCGGCUCAACCGUCGAACUGCAGUUGAUACUGGAGGUCUUGAGUGCACACAGGGAUACUGGAAUUCAUGGUGUAGCGGUGAAAUGCUCAGAUAUCAUGAAGAACUCCGAUCGCGAAGGCAGGUAUCCGGGGUGCAACUGACGCUGAGGCUCGAAAGUGCGGGUAUCAAACAGGAUUAGAUACCCUGGUAGUCCGCACAGUAAACGAUGAAUACUCGCGAUUUGCGAUACACAGUAAGUCGCCAAGCGAAAGCGUUAAGUAUUCCACCUGGGGAGUACGCCGGCAACGGUGAAACUCAAAGGAAUUGACGG